rnacentral:rRNA from 1 species
AUUGAACGCUGGCGGCAGGCCUAACACAUGCAAGUCGAGCGGAUGAAGGGAGCUUGCUCCUGGAUUCAGCGGCGGACGGGUGAGUAAUGCCUAGGAAUCUGCCUGGUAGUGGGGGAUAACGUCCGGAAACGGGCGCUAAUACCGCAUACGUCCUGAGGGAGAAAGUGGGGGAUCUUCGGACCUCACGCUAUCAGAUGAGCCUAGGCCGGAUUAGCUAGUUGGUGCGGUAAAGGCCUACCAAGGCGACGAUCCGUAACUGGGCUGAGGGGGUGAUCAGUCAAAGUGGAACUGGGACGCGGUCCAGACUCCUACGGGAGCCAGCAGUAGGGAAUCGUCCGCAAUAGGCGAAAACAUGACGGAAGAAGGCCGAGGGAGAGAUGAAGGUCUUGGGAUCGUAAAAAUCUGUUAUUAGGGAAGAACAGAUGUGUCAGUAAAAGUUCACAUCGUGACGGUACGUAAUAAGAAAGCCACGGCUAACUACGUG